AAUGCGAUACGUAAUGUGAAUUGCAAAUUCAGUGAAUCAUCGAGUCUUUGAACGCACAUUGCGCCCCCUGGUAUUCCGGGGGGCAUGCCUGUCCGAGCGUCAUUUCUGCCCUCAAGCACGGCUUGUGUGUUGGGCCCCGUCCUCCGAUCCCGGGGGACGGGCCCGAAAGGCAGCGGCGGCACCGCGUCCGGUCCUCGAGCGUAUGGGGCUUUGUCACCCGCUCUGUAGGCCCGGCCGGCGCUUGCCGAUCAACCCAAAUUUUUAUCCAGGUUGACCUCGGAUCAGGUAGGGAUACCCGCUGAACUUAAGC
rnacentral:misc_RNA from 1 species